rnacentral:rRNA from 1 species
GAUGAACGCUGGCGGCGUGCCUAAUACAUGCAAGUCGAGCGAACAGACGAGGAGCUUGCUCCUCUGACGUUAGCGGCGGACGGGUGAGUAACACGUGGAUAACCUACCUAUAAGACUGGGAUAACUUCGGGAAACCGGAGCUAAUACCGGAUAAUAUAUUGAACCGCAUGGUUCAAUAGUGAAAGACGGUUUUGCUGUCACUUAUAGAUGGAUCCGCGCCGCAUUAGCUAGUUGGUAAGGUAACGGCUUACCAAGGCGACGAUGCGUAGCCGACCUGAGAGGGUGAUCGGCCACACUGGAACUGAGACACGGUCCAGACUCCUACGGGAGGCAGCAGUGGGGAAUCUUGCGCAAUGGGCGAAAGCCUGACGGAGCAACGCCGCGUGUGUGAUGAAGGUCUUCGGAUCGUAAAGCUCUGUUAUUAGGGAAGAACAAAUGUGUAAGUAACUAUGCACGUCUUGACGGUACCUGAUCAGAAAGCCACGGCUAACUACGUG